AUUGAACGCUGGCGGCAUGCUUUACACAUGCAAGUCGAACGGCAGCGCGGGCUUCGGCCUGGCGGCGAGUGGCGAACGGGUGAGUAAUACAUCGGAACGUGCCCAGUAGUGGGGGAUAGCUCGGCGAAAGCCGGAUUAAUACCGCAUACGACCUGAGGGUGAAAGCGGGGGAUCUUCGGACCUCGCGCUAUUGGAGCGGCCGAUGGCAGAUUAGCUAGUUGGUGGGGUAAAGGCCUACCAAGGCGACGAUCUGUAGCUGGUCUGAGAGGACGACCAGCCACACUGGGACUGAGACACGGCCCAGACUCCUACGGGAGGCAGCAGUGGGGAAUUUUGGACAAUGGGCGAAAGCCUGAUCCAGCAAUGCCGCGUGUGUGAUGAAGGCCUUCGGGUUGUAAAGCACUUUUGGCGGGAACGAAAAGGACUGUGCCAAUACCACGGUUCGAUGGCGGUACCCGCAGAAUAAGCACCGGCUAACUACGUG
rnacentral:rRNA from 1 species